rnacentral:rRNA from 1 species
GACGAACCGUCCAAACGUUAUUCGGAAUUACUGGGCUUAAAGGGUGCGUAGGCGGUGCUACAAGUCGGGUGUGAAAUCCCUCAGCUUAACUGAGGAACUGCGCCCGAAACUGUAGUGCUGGAGUGAGGCAGGGGUGAGCGGAACUGAUGGUGGAGCGGUGAAAUGUGUUGAUAUCAUCAGGAACACCGGUGGCGAAGGCGGCUCACUGGGCCUUUACUGACGCUGAGGCACGAAAGCUAGGGGAGCAAACGGGAUUAGAUACCCCGGUAGUCCUAGCUGUAAACGAUGAGCACUUGAUCGGAGACUCCUCCAUAGGUUUCCGGUCGUAGCGAAAGUGUUAAGUGCUCCGCCUGGGGAGUAUGGUCGCAAGGCUGAA